ensembl:lncRNA
AGACAGCUGGGAAGCAGCACUGAGGCUUGAUCCCAGAUUUGCCCCGUGCUGCUCAGGUCAGAUGGAGCUUUAUGUUUGAGCCGAGAUCCUUCUUCAGCCAGGAUUUACAAACAAAAAUAAUACGACAGAGGAGAGGGCUGGUGCUUCUGAAGAUGCUCCGAAAACGCUCACACAAGCAGAAAGGGGCCCACAAGAAUUAUUCCCCAUACAGCAGCCAAGCCAAAGCUCAGGACGUCGUCCUUGCUCCGUCUGUCAGCCCAGCUCCUGAAAAAGAACAAAUCUCAUUAAUGGUUGCCAUAGAUUUCGACGAUGCCGCGCAAGGGCCAUAACAUGGCGAGGCUCUUUAGAAUGGGAGAUAAACCAUUCUCAGCUUCACGACACUCUAGGUGCAGGAAGAUAAACAGCAUCUCCAGGGAUGCUGGAGGAGGAGCACGCCGGCAGCACGCCCACAUCUUGCUUUCACUGAGCUGCUGGGAUGAGACCAUGAGUGAGCAUCCAGCGGCAAUAGAUGAUAAUUUCCUAAGGAUGAGAAGAGAAGAAAAAGCUUCCCCUGACUUAAUGUAAUUAUUAGCAUUAAUAAUUAUAGAAGAGAAGAUGCCAAUUAGCAGAGCUAGCCCUGUUUGCAGGUGGGAAUAGCUGAGUUUACUCUUUUCCCCUUUCAUUUAAAAGCGGAUUUAGCAAUAAGACUGUGGAGGAGGCAUCCAAAUGCAUGUGUGGCGGCUCCUGCAAGGCCAGAAUUGGGAACUGCUUGAUGUCAUUUGGGGAAAAACACCACUGGGAGGAAACGGCGGUUAGUGACAACUGAAUAGGUGGAGUCAUGGAGUCACAGAACGGGAAAGGACCUCUGGGUCCAUCUGGUCCAACCCCCACUCAAACAGGGACACCCAGAGCCGCUUGCCUAUGGAGCAUUCUAUUAGGAAGCACUAACUGGGGAGUAGUGCAUUAAGGGCCAGGAGUUCUUUGUUUCUAAAGCACAUUCUUCUUCCACGGUCUCUGAGUAUUUUUGUUGAGAUAGGAUGUGUGCCCUGAUGGACCCAAGGCUGGGAAUUUACAAGAAGAAGAUAGUGGGAACAAGGAGGUAAUGUUUGCCCAUUACUGUUUUUUUUCAAUGCCUCCUAAUUUUGGCAAGCCACUUGUGAGCUAAAAUAUUAAUUCUUAACUAGAGGAAACAUUCUCCCCCUCCUUCCUCCUCUUCCCCCAGUCCUUUUUUCACAUACUUUUUGGCUGAUAGAAAGAGCAGAAUAAUCUCAUCUGAUGUUUUGGGAUAUAUUCCCUGCAGGUGCUAUAGAAGUGCCACCUGCUACUGCGUACUGGGUUUGAUCACAACUCAGUAGCACCCAGUGCUGCACAGGAUCUCAUAUUUUAAUGGCCACCAAGUGCCUGGCUGCUAAUGACAAUACAUCCUGAACUGUGUAGACUUACUCUGUAAAUGCCAUUGUGCAUGAUGCUCCUUAAAACACCAGCUUAGGGGGGAAAUGAAAGAGUGAAUUGGGAAAUACUGGUUUCAACCUCAGCCUCAACACUAAGAAGCACCUCUCCACCCUCUGCGAGCAGCAAUGGGCAGCAUAGUCCUGUUGGAAAGCAAAGAUGCUAAGUGGUGCAUCCAGGGAGGCUGUUAGCAUCCCAUCCAUCCCAAGACAGAAUAGACUGAUGGUUGGAUUGGGUGAUCUUAGUGGUCUUUUCCAACCUUAAUGAUUCUAUGAUCUAGAGGAUGCUCCCUGACAGCACACCCCCACCACAUCUUGGGCUCAGCUGAUUUCCAUCACUCCACUCCUCUGAGGACCUGGGAGCAGUGAGAAGCCCUCAGUACAGCUCUCAGUGCCCUGAGCUCUUCUGACAUUGGGAGAGGAGCAUCCUGGCUGUCUUUGGGCCCAGCUGGAUGGUAAACAGCACCAGAGCCAUUUGCAAGCCUUCAAAGUUCCCACAUGAUUAUGUGAGCAAAUAUUUGGACUGGAAGUGCUGUUAGUCAUUAUUUGCAGUUCAUUUUCUCGUAUUUGUUCUCUGUCUUCUAAAUAAAGGGAAAAAAAGAGAGAGAAAAAAAAAAAAAGACAGAAGCCAAGACGACAGCUCACAGCACUCACAUCCAGCAGCACAAAUGACACUUGUUUUUUCAGCUUUGCAGAUUCCUGGGUGAUGCUGCAGCACAGCAGCCCGUGCCAGGCAGUGGUUCACCCCUUGUUUGGAGCAGGGUCCUGAGCACCCACCCAGACACCCCUGAUAUCAACCCAACUUGGCUGGUACACAGAGGUUUUCUAGAUUUGCACCCCAGGCCGCAGAAACAAGGGUUAUUUUCCCUGCUUUUUGGCCUCCCUGGAUUUGAGGGCUUUCCUGCUUCGCUGCUAUUUGGCACCUCAUUUGGAGGUCUGAUCGUGGCAGCAGCUGUUACCCAGGCUCGGGGCUUAGCACUAUUAAUCAUGUCAGGAGGCAGCAGCCUUACCUCCAGUGGGACAUGCUGCAGCUGGUGGCGUGUUUGCUGAGGGAGGGUUUCCACCUGCCCAUGUAAGUGCAAGGCUCCCUGGGCACCAGAGGCAUGAGAGCAGUGAUUACACAUUGCAGGAGCUCCACGGCAGCGCUGGCAUCCAAGCUGAAAAGAAAGUGUUGUUUGUUUUGGCAUAGCCGGUGACUGAGGAGAACACUGAAGUCAGGACCCAGCCCCUGCUUGUGCCAUUUUCUGCACCGGGGUCAUCCCAACACCCUAUUUCCAUGGCAUGAAGGGAAGUGAUGGAGACACUGUCCCUGGAGGUGUUUAAGAGCUGUGGAGAUGCGUCACUGAGGGAUGAGGCACAGUGGACGUGGUGGGGGUGGGUUGGGAUUGGAUGAUCUUAGAGGUCUUUUCCAAUCAGCAUGAUUCUCUCAUGGCUUGGAGUGGCUUGUUUCUCCCAGGAAAAUGUAGACAGAAGACAUGUCCAGCUUUUCCAGCACUUCAGCCCUCACAGAAAUCCCCAAGGCAGAAGCUCCUUUGGGUGAAGGUUUCUUCUCUGGCACCUACAGACAAGAUCUCAGACCACUGGGGUCAUCAGUGACAACAGGGAUCUACAGCAAAACCCUCCCGAAUGCCCCCAGCCCCACCAUCUCCUAGCAGACAUUCAGGGUUUUCCGUGGUCUCCUGUAGAGAUGGAGAAAAGAUCUCGUUUCUGUGGAAAGCAUAGACUUCUUGCAAGCACUCGUGCUGAGAACAAAUGGGGCUUUCUGCAGAAAUGGCUUCAAACAUCCUCGUCGACAAGAAGAGAAAAAGACUGAACUGGUGGAAAUAGGCGGCCCAGCGGAAAUAAAGUUAAUGUAACAUGGCAAUAUCCCAACCAGCCUCUGUUUACCAGAUAGUCUCUCCUCUGAGUCACACAUUGAUGUGACUAUUAAUAAUGCACUGUUAUAAAAAUCCAUCCUUGUAGGAGGAAGGAUGCUGUCAAGACUCGAGUAAUUUCUUAUUUUCAGUGAAAUAUGGAUAACAUUUGUGUUGUGUUUCCAAUCCCUCUUUUCAGGUUAUUUUCUGUUUCCACUUUAAUAAUAAUCUUUAGG